AUUGAACGCUGGCGGCAGGCUUAACACAUGCAAGUCGAGCGGGGAAGGGUAGCUUGCUACCUGACCUAGCGGCGGACGGGUGAGUAAUGCUUAGGAAUCUGCCUAUUAGUGGGGGACAACAUUCCGAAAGGAAUGCUAAUACCGCAUACGCCCUACGGGGGAAAGCAGGGGAUCUUCGGACCUCGCGCUAAUAGAUGAGCCUAAGUCAGAUUAGCUAGUUGGUGGGGUAAAGGCCUACCAAGGCGACGAUCUGUAGCGGGUCUGAGAGGAUGAUCCGCCACACUGGGACUGAGACACGGCCCAGACUCCUACGGGAGGCAGCAGUGGGGAAUAUUGGACAAUGGGCGAAAGCCUGAUCCAGCCAUGCCGCGUGUGUGAAGAAGGUCUUUCGGUUGUAAAGCACUUUAAGCGAGGAGGAGGCUACCGAGAUUAAUACUCUUGGAUAGUGGACGUUACUCGCAGAAUAAGCACCGGCUAACUCUGUGCCAGCAGCCGCCGUAA
rnacentral:rRNA from 1 species